rnacentral:rRNA from 1 species
UACAGAGGUCUCAAGCGUUGUUCGGAUUCAUUGGGCGUAAAGGGUGCGUAGGCGGCGCGGUAAGUCGGGUGUGAAAUCUUGGAGCUUAACUCCGAAACUGCAUUCGAUACUGCCGUGCUUGAGGACUGGAGAGGAGACUGGAAUUUACGGUGUAGCGGUGAAAUGCGUAGAUAUUCGCAAGAACACCAGUGGCGAAGGCGGCUCACUGGCCCGAUACUGACGCUGAGGCACGAAAGCGUGGGGAGCAAACAGG